rnacentral:rRNA from 1 species
AUUGAACGCUGGCGGAACGCUUUACACAUGCAAGUCGAACGGUAACGUGGGGAGGAGCUUGCUCCACCCCGACGACGAGUGGCGAACGGGUGAGUAAUACAUCGGAACGUGUCCGCUUGUGGGGGACAACCAGCCGAAAGGUUGGCUAAUACCGCAUGAGUUCUACGGAAGAAAGAGGGGGACCCGCAAGGGCCUCUCGCGAGCGGAGCGGCCGAUGACUGAUUAGCCGGUUGGUGAGGUAACGGCUCACCAAAGCAACGAUCAGUAGCUGGUCUGAGAGGACGACCAGCCACACUGGGACUGAGACACGGCCCAGACUCCUACGGGAGGCAGCAGUGGGGAAUUUUGGACAAUGGGCGCAAGCCUGAUCCAGCUAUUCCGCGUGUGGGAUGAAGGCCCUCGGGUUGUAAACCACUUUUGUAGAGAACGAAAAGACACCAUCGAAUAAAUGGUGUUGCUGACGGUACUCUAAGAAUAAGCACCGGCUAACUACGUG